rnacentral:rRNA from 1 species
CCCCUAGAUGUUCUGGGCCGCACGCGCGCUACACUGAACAGUUCAACAAGUCUUAACCUUGGCCGAUAGGUCUGGGUAAUCUUUGAACGCUGUUCGUGAUUGGGAUAGACCUUUGCAAUUAUGGGACUUCAACGAGGAAUUCCUAGUAAACGCAAGUCAUCAGCUUGCAUUGAUUACGUCCCUGCCCUUUGUACACACCGCCCGUCGCACCUACCGAUUGAAUGGUCCGGUGAAAUCUCGGGACGGCGGCUUGGUCGCUUGCGUCCGACUGCUGAAACUUGAUUAAACCAUAUCAUUUAGAGGAAGGUGAAGUCGUANCA